GACGAACGCUGGCGGCGUGCUUAACACAUGCAAGUCGAACGGAAAGGCCCUGCUUUUGUGGGGUGCUCGAGUGGCGAACGGGUGAGUAACACGUGAGUAACCUGCCCUUGACCUUGGGAUAACUUCAGGAAACUGGGGCUAAUACCGGAUAGGAGCUCCUGCUGCAUGGUGGGGGUUGGAAAGUUUCGGCGGUUGGGGAUGGACGCGCGGCUUAUCAGCUUGUUGGUGGGGUAGUGGCUUACCAAGGGUUUGACGGGUAGCCGGCCUGAGAGGGUGACCGGCCACAUUGGGACUGAGAUACGGCCCAGACUCCUACGGGAGGCAGCAGUGGGGAAUAUUGCACAAUGGGCGGAAGCCUGAUGCAGCAACGCCGCGUGCGGGAUGACGGCCUUCGGGUUGUAAACCGCUUUCGCCUGUGACGAAGCGUGAGUGACGGUAAUGGGUAAAGAAGCACCGGCUAACUACGUGCCAGCCGCCGCAGUAACAC
rnacentral:rRNA from 1 species